rnacentral:misc_RNA from 1 species
GAUGAAGAACGUAGCGAAAUGCGAUACUUGGUGUGAAUUGCAGAAUCCCGUGAACCAUCGAGUCUUUGAACGCAAGUUGCGCCCGAAGCCAUUAGGCCGAGGGCACGCCUGCCUGGGCGUCACACGUCGUUGCCCCCCCAUCUACUCCUUCGGGAUUGCGGGGGGCGGAUGAUGGCCUCCCGUGCGCCUCGUCGCGCGGUUGGCAUAAAUGCCAAGUCCUCGGCGCCGCACGCCACGACAAUCGGUGGUUGCGAAACCUCGGUUGCCCGUCGUGUGCGGUCGUCGCGCAUCGAGGGCUCGAAAAAAUUGUCGGGCUCCGGCUCGGCUUUCAACGCGACCCCAGGUCAGGCGGGGUUACCCGCUGAAUUUAAGCAUAUCAAUAAGCGGAGGA